GACGAACGCUGGCGGCGUGCUUAACACAUGCAAGUCGAACGGAAAGGCCUGCUUUCCCUUGUGGAUUGCGGGUACUCGAGUGGCGAACGGGUGAGUAACACGUGAGUGAUCUCCCCCCAACUUGGGUAUAAGCCUGGGAAACUGGGUCUAAUUCCCGAUAGGACUGCAGGGUGGUGCCUGUGGUGGAAAACGAUUUUCUAGUGGUUGGGGAUGAGCUCGCGGCCUAUCAGCUUGUUGGUGGGGUAAUGGCCUACCAAGGCGGCGACGGGUAGCCGGCCUGAGAGGGUGGACGGCCACAUUGGGACUGAGAUACGGCCCAGACUCCUACGGGAGGCAGCAGUGGGGAAUAUUGCACAAUGGGCGGAAGCCUGAUGCAGCGACGCCGCGUGGGGGAUGACGGCCUUCGGGUUGUAAACUCCUUUCGACCGCGAGGAAGCCACCUGGUUGGAAGGGUGGUGACGGUAGUGGUAGAAGAAGCACCGGCUAACUACGUG
rnacentral:rRNA from 1 species